GUGGAGUUCAAAUUUAGUAGGUCACAUACCCAAUUGACAAUAAACAAUUUCAACAACAGCAUUAAUAAUUUGUUGAGCCAGGUGUAGUGGCACACACCUGUAAUCCCAGUGGCGUGGGAGGCUGAGACAGGCAGAUCUCAAAUUCAAAACCAGCCUCAGCAAUGGCAAAGUGUUUAACAACUCAGUGAGACCCUGUCUCUAAAUAAAAUACAAAAUAGGGCUGGGGGUGUGGCUCAGUGGUUGAGUGCCCCUGAGUUCAAGCCCCAGUACCCAAAAUAAUAAUAAUAAUAAUAAUAAAUGCAAUAAAAAAAAUGAGCUCCACAGUCACAUUAGCCACAUAUCAUGCACUCAGUAGCCGCAUGUGACUAGUGUAGAAUGCAGAUAUAAACUGUUUCCUUUGUGGCAGAAAGUUCCACUGGGCAGCUCUGAGUUAGGGAAAUCUGUCCAGGGUCAUACAGUAAAUGGUGAAAAUGGGCCUCUGAUCCCAUUUGAAUCUCAAGCCUUUUAAUAGCUGCUUUCUGUUUCCACAAUUUAAAAAAAAAAUCUAAAAUACAAAAUUGAUCAUGUACAACCUGAGCCUAAACUACUGUUACAUAAUUGUCUUUUUUCUUGCACAAUCUCACUCUCCAGCUCGUUUGCUCUCUCACUGCCCUCUGAUACUCCUACUAUGUCCACUCAAUAUUUUUGCUGUCCUCCUUUCUGUUGGCCCAGCUAAUGAAUUCCUGCCUGACCUUUAGGUUCAAAUAGCUUAAGUGUUUCUGGAAUUGGCUCCCUCUCUCCCUUCUCUCCACCUCCACCUAAUCAAUUCUGAGGCCCCUUGUCACCUCUCGAUAUGACAGCCUUCUGCUACUACUAAUUACACUUUCUGGCUUUUGUCAAGUACCUCUGACGUGCAAGGCAGUCUUCUCAGCACCCACUCCUCGUCACAACAACUUGAGGAGAUAUCACAGCUGUCUUCAUCUAAGAAAUGCAGUAACUUGUGCACCAGGAGUUGAUCAGGUGUCCUACUACCCUCUGCAUCUAGUCUUUUCUGGGCACUCUGCCCUCGCACUGUUACUCUCUUCAGUAUUUCUAAAGCACAGAGUUGUUACUCCCUCCACUACCACAUCCU
rnacentral:lncRNA from 1 species